rnacentral:rRNA from 1 species
CCUACGGGUGGCAGCAGUAGGGAAUCUUUCACAAUGGGCGAAAGCCUGAUGGAGCAACGCCGCGUGCAGGAUGAAGGCCUUCGGGUUGUAAACUGCUUUUAUAAGCGAGAAAUAUGAUGGUAACUUAUGAAUAAGGAUCGGCUAACUACGUGCCAGCCGCCGCGGUCAUACGUAGGAUCCGAGCAUUAUCAGGAGUGACUGGGUGUAAAGAGUUGCGUAGGUGGCAUAAGAAGUAGCUAGUGAAAUCUGGUGGCUCAACCAUUCAGACUAUUAGCUAAACUGUUAAGCUCGAGACCGUUAGGGGUAACUGGAAUUUCUAGUGUAGGAGUGAAAUCCGUAGAUAUUAGAAGGAACACCAAUAGCGUAGGCAGGUUGCUGGGACGGUUCUGACACUAAGGCACGAAAGCGUAGGGAGCAAACGGGAUUAGAUACCCCUGUAGUC